UAAAAAAAAAAAAAAAUUUAAAUAAGCGAAUUCCGUAGUCUCUAUUGGUAACCCAGGAGGAAAACAAAUACAAAGUCCCUGUGUGAUGUGUGUCAAGUAGCCUUGAUUUCCAGCGUUACCCUGUGGCGGGGCGUCCCUUAUUGCUAUGGGGAAUGUUGCCAUGGGUGGAUUACUUCAACAUCAACAUGUGGAAGUUUGGAGCCAGGAAUCCAGUGGUAGGGGUGGUGGUGGUGGUGCAGAGCCUGGAGGAUGAAAUGGACUUGUCUGAGUGCAACCCAGCGCUCAAAGUCUCCGCCUUACCAACACACUAAUACAGAUUGUGUUAAGAUGCGGAGAAAGAUAGACCAAGGCAAGAGGAGUAGGAGGAAGAGGAGGAAGAAAGAGGUAGUGGAAGAUAAGAAGAGGAAGAGAAGAAAGAAGGAAUGAAGAGAAAAAAGAAAAGAUUGUCUUAAGAUAUGAAUAAAGAGAGGCUAAGACAGGAGGAGGAGGAGAAAGAGGAAGAGGAAGAGAAGAAAGAAGGAAUGAAAAAAAAAAAGGUCUGGGCCAAGAACUGCAGACAUAAUGGUUGUGUGCUUUGCUGCCUGACAAUUGCAACAAGAAGAGAAAUUGUGACCCAUUUCCCCCACCCCCCUGCUUAAAUGAUGUCAGUAUAUGAGCACAUGAAUGUAUAUCUGGUGUAUGGUUGCCUAAUGUAUGUUAGUUAGGUUAGUUUAGGUUAGGUUGGUCAAGAUGUAGUAAUUUACAAUAGCCUACACAUUUAACUGCCAGGAAAUCUGUUGGAAAUUGCAAAUUGUGUACUUUACUUCAUUGUUUAAGACAUUCAUUUUUACCUAAGUGGUUUGUUCGGUUGGUUUAUCUGUGAUGUGACGCACAUAAGGUAGCACUAUUUUCUCCAACUUCUUUUAUCAUUACCAUUAGCUCUUGUUUAGAAUAACAAAGAUCAUUAUUGCUGUAUUGGGACUGAUAGUAACAGGUGACAAAUUUACUGUUCUGUUUGUUAUUGUGUUUCCAAAUUAACUAUCAUCUGUGCAGCCAGCCUGCUUCAUACUCUUCUCUUUCACCCAUAUGUAUUUUCAUUGCAUGUAUUAGAAAUUUUUAUGCACAAUUUCAUUUCCUCACCCUGCCAUCUUUAUUAUGAUAAAGUAUUUACCCUAUAGGAAAAGAAAAUGUACAUUAUUUAUCUAUUCUUUAUUAAGGUUAGUUUCUAUACUACAAUGUUUAAGCCAUCUUUCAUGCAAAAAUAUAUGAAAAUGAAA